rnacentral:rRNA from 1 species
CCUACGGGAGGCAGCAGUGGGGAAUAUUGCACAAUGGGGGAAACCCUGAUGCAGCGACGCCGCGUGAGUGAAGAAGUAUUUCGGUAUGUAAAGCUCUAUCAGCAGGGAAGAUAAUGACAGUACCUGACUAAGAAGCCCCGGCUAACUACGUGCCAGCAGCCGCGGUAAUACGUAGGGGGCAAGCGUUAUCCGGAUUUACUGGGUGUAAAGGGAGCGUAGACGGAAUGGCAAGUCUGAAGUGAAAUACCCGGGCUCAACCUGGGAACUGCUUUGGAAACUGUUGUUCUAGAGUGUUGGAGAGGUAAGUGGAAUUCCUGGUGUAGCGGUGAAAUGCGUAGAUAUCAGGAAGAACACCGGAGGCGAAGGCGGCUUACUGGACAAUAACUGACGUUGAGGCUCGAAAGCGUGGGGAUCAAACAGGAUUAGAUACCCUGGUAGUC